GGGGGUAUAGCUCAGCUGGGAGAGCAGCAGACUGAAGUCGUUGAAUAAAAUAGUGUGACGCUCAUUCUGAAGGUCCCGCGUUCGAUCCGCGGUACCCCCA